ACAAUCAUAUACAUUAAAAUGUUAUUAAAAUUAAUGUAUUAUAUGAUUGU
rnacentral:pre_miRNA from 1 species